UAAAGGAACAAGCAAGGAAGACCACGAGUUCCCAGCCCUGCAGAUGGGAACCUGCAACCCUCCCUCUGGCUGAGAUCCCUUCUCUAGAUGUGAGCUGAGGAAGGAACUUCAGUUGACCACAGAACCGAACAACUCCGUUUUCUUUAUUUUAUGGCAGAGAACCCAUGUGGAUGAAACCUUACCAGUUAUGAUGAGAAAAAUUCACUCUGAAAUAUUGUGCAUUAUAUUUCUGGUCCACAUACAGUGAUACAACCCUACUGAGAGAAGGUAUAUUGAGUCACCUCAUUCUUAUUUCUUACUUUUAAAAGCUAUUUAACUUAAGCAUCUGUACAAAUAGUGGGGAAUAAAGCCCUCCUUUGAAACCCCUUUAGUGGUUUU
rnacentral:lncRNA from 1 species